rnacentral:lncRNA from 1 species
GUUCGCUCAACCUUGGCCCGUGAUCUACUAGUAUACUGAUUAAACAUGUAUAUGGUAUUUCAAAUUGUUCUCUAUUUUUUUUUUUUCAUUUGUUUGUUUUUGCCGUCUUUAUUCUGUCUGCUAUAUUUUUUACUUCUAAAUUAAUAGCGUAUUUUCAACUCUUUUCAGUUUGGGAAUUUUUCAUCCUUUUAAUUUUUAAAAGACAAAUAAUUGUGAACACUUCACGGAAAAGUGAGGAUUGAUAUUUGGUUGCUUAACGUCCAGUUGCCAAUACUUCAUUCAUUUUUCUAAUGUUAAGAACUAUGCCAUUUAUCAAUAUUUCGAUUUGAGCGUUACUGAUGAGUCUUGUGUAGACGAAACG